UACGUAGGUGGCAAGCGUUAUCCGGAUUUACUGGGUGUAAAGGGUGCGUAGGCGGGCAUGCAAGUCAGAUGUGAAAUACCGGGGCUCAACUCCGGGGCUGCAUUUGAAACUGUAUGUCUUGAGUACAGGAGAGGUAAGUGGAAUUCCUAGUGUAGCGGUGAAAUGCGUAGAGAUUAGGAGGAACACCAGUGGCGAAGGCGGCUUACUGGACUGUUACUGACGCUGAGGCACGAAAGUGUGGGGAGCAAACAGG
rnacentral:rRNA from 1 species